rnacentral:lncRNA from 1 species
AAUGUUUAGGUUAUACCCUACCAUUACAUAGGAGAUUCAGGACUUUUCAGGCUAAAGAGGGAAUCUUGAAGCUUCAGUAAAUCAUUAAAGAAUACAUUUAAUCGUAGGGAAUGGGUUAUACAUUCUGUUCUGGCACGGUUACUUUGAGUUUGUUUGGGUUCUUCAGUCUUCUUGCAUUGUUGUUCAAGGUGCCAAAUUAGCAUCAAUAAUAAGAAAACUCUUGCUUCAGUGUCUCUGUCUGCCCCCCACAGGUGAAUGGGAUACCCAUUACCUUAGAAGAAGAGAUGUACCUUUGUUUCCCUACUGAGUUUUGAUCAGAUAUGCACUUGGCCUGAAUGGUUUGAUUGCAGCAGAUGCACAUCCACAUCGCCAGAAGAUCAGCCAGAAAACAUUUAGCUCAUUUCUCCAUUAGUUCUGCCUUCCAGAAACUGCUAGCAAGAGGAUGUUUUCACACAGGAGCAUGAAGGCAGGACAAAACAGUGAAGCUCAAAUGACAGCUCAUGGACUGGUGUCAAAGAAAACAGACCAUGAACAGAUUUACUGACUUAACUGGACUAGCCACAAGGUUGGAAUUAUGUAUGUGCUUCAGUAUCAUGCCAGCAGGAGGUUAUGGGGCUGCACAUGGAAUGUUUGCUGUGAGCUAGGAGCUCCAUGGGGUGGAGAGCAGAGGCAAACACAUUUCUACUGGGUUUUGGAUUUUUGCCACUGAAACUGAAGAGGACCAGAACUCAGACAAUUGACUUCUGAGCAAUCUACCUUAAAAUUACCAUCGUUCCCUUCUCAAUUCCAGUGCAGAUGAUAAACGUCUCUCAAAUCAACACCAGAUACUUCCCUUAAAUCAUACAUAAAUUAAAUUAUUAUAAGGAGUAUGCUUUCUCCCCAAAACACUGAAUUUACUUUCUUUGUUUCUUUUCUUUCUUCCUAAUCUUUUUCUUUCAUGCUCCCAAACCAACUGGCUGAGUUGUCCCCAUGGGCUAUUGAUGGCAUUAAAGUGGACUGUUCAGCAGCUGUGCCCUACUGCCUGCCCUAUUGAUUAGUUUCUCACAUGGCUCUUAAUAGGUU